UACGUAGGGGGCUAGCGUUGUCCGGAAUCAUUGGGCGUAAAGAGCGUGUAGGCGGUCCGGUAAGUCCGCUGUGAAAGUCGGGGGGCUCAACCCUCGAAUGCCGGUGGAUACUGUCGGGCUAGAGUGCGGAAGAGGCGAGUGGAAUUCCUGGUGUAGGCGGUGAAAUGCGCAGAUAUCAGGAGGAACACCUAUUGCGAAGGCAGCUCGCUGGGACGUAACUGACGCUGAGACGCGAAAGCGUGGGGAGCAAACAGG
rnacentral:rRNA from 1 species